rnacentral:rRNA from 1 species
GACGAACGCUGGCGGCGUGCUUAACACAUGCAAGUCGAACGGAAAGGCCCUGCUUUUGUGGGGUGCUCGAGUGGCGAACGGGUGAGUAACACGUGAGUAACCUGCCCUUGACUUUGGGAUAACUUCAGGAAACUGGGGCUAAUACCGGAUAGGAGCUCCUGCUGCAUGGUGGGGGUUGGAAAGUUUCGGCGGUUGGGGAUGGACUCGCGGCUUAUCAGCUUGUUGGUGGGGUAGUGGCUUACCAAGGCUUUGACGGGUAGCCGGCCUGAGAGGGUGACCGGCAACAUUGGGACUGAGAGACGGCCCAGACGCCUACGGGAGGCAACAGUGGGGAAUAUGACACAGUGGGCGGAAGCCUGAUGCAGCAACGCCGCGUGCGGGAUGACGGCCUUCGGGUUGUAAACCGCUUUCGCCUGUGACGAAGCGUGAGUGACGGUAAUGGGUAAAGAAGCACCGGCUAACUACGUG